rnacentral:rRNA from 1 species
UUGACCUCGGAUCAGGUAGGGAUACCCGCUGAACUUAACCAAAAAAAUAAACCGAAAGAAAUUUUUUAGUGGGGCCCUUUGGGGCAACAUACACAAGGUUUAAUAAAACAAGUUGCUAAGGGGGGACGCUAAAAAGACGCCGGAA